CUUGUCUCUCUACAGUAUGCCUUUAUUGUCAGCUUAACAUCUUCUCACCUGUAUAUUUAUAUUCUAAUAAGGCAAUUAUUUCUUACUUUUCUAAUCAUUCUUCUAUGUACAUUGCAUGAGUACAACUCAUUAGCUAAUAUUUUUCUUUAAAACAAAGGAUUAGAAGGAAAUUUUGAUUUCACUAGUAAUCAUUGCUGUGUUUAUAUUCCUAAUGCCAUCUGUUUUGUUUCUGUUCAUAUUCAUUGGGUGUAUUAACCAUAAAAUUAUGCAAACUUGUAGUUUCAGUUUACAAAAAAAAUUAAUACCCAGAGAAAUAGCUAAAUUGUGACAAUCCCCAUGUUCUCUAUAAGACAUACAACUCAUCGUAUUUUCCACUUUAACCAACCCUGAUAAACCAUAGAAUGAACAAAAUUAUCACUAAAUUUAUUUACCAUGGUUACACUUUUCACUUUUACAAAAUCAAGUCUGCUAUUUAAUAUUAUGCAGGGUACAUCAUACUAAAAGUUAAUUUUCCAAUGUUUUAGGUGACCUAAUUUCCAUUAGCUUUCUUUAUUGUUUCACACAUUGAAAAACUUUGCUCUGUGUAGGAAUUUGGGGCAGUAUUACAAAAUCUUAGCUGCAGGAUUGAAUAAGUUGUUUUUGUUUGCCAUAAUUA
rnacentral:lncRNA from 1 species